AUCCUUAACCCACUGAGCAGGGCCAAGGAUCGAACCCAACCUCAGAGCCUGGCUGUCAGUUUGACCUGUUGGAUGGAGGAAUGCCUGACCGAAUGACGGAAUGAACUUGUGGUCACAAAGGUUAAAUGAGAUACCAUGAAAUCUCCAGGAACAGAAUCUAUUCCUCGGGGAAGGAACGUGAGGACGGUUGAUUGGCAUGAAAUCAUUAUAGUGGGACCAUCAGCAGAAGCGAGGCACAGGCAAAACUGGUAACUCCAGGAAACACUCGAUUUUCCGUCGGCUGUCCAUCCUUCCUCGGCUCUUCUGGUUUUUGCUGCAACGUGGACAUCCUGAAGCGUGUUCUGCCUCUUUUAGGACUGCAAAAAAAAAAAAAGGAGAAAAAAAUGAAAUAAGAAGGUGAUGGGCAUCUCUAGUCAAGGCCUAUAAAACCCCUCUGUUCUCCGGAGUCCACGGGAAAAGUGUCACAACCUGUAGACUUGUUCCUGUCCCCAUCCCAGAGACAGUCGCUUGUUGGUUUUAACUGGAAAAAUAAACAUUUGAAAAACAGGCAAAAAAAUGUCCACACAAUCCAGGCACUCAAGUUACCCCGAUUAUUUGCUUUGGUGGCUUAGCUUUUAUUUACUCAAGCUGCUUCUGGUUUAAAGGUAAUUUACAUAGUUGAAGCCUUCAUAACAAUGAUGAUUGCAAAACGGCUGGCAAGUUUGAUCAAAAUCCUUCCAACAGGCAAACUUGAGGCUUUUAAAGAGAAGUUCCUCAGUCCCUAACUUAUCUCACACAGUAGAUCUCUUUCAGAAGAGAUUUAAGACAAAUUAGAAGAAUAAAUAAAUAAAGACACUCAUAGCCGAGCA